rnacentral:rRNA from 1 species
UGGGGAAUCUUGGUCAAUGGGCGCAAGCCUGAACCAGCGACGCCGCGUGAGUGAUGAAGGCCUUCGGGUUGUAAAGCUCUGUGGGGAGGGACGAAAGCCUCGGUUCUAACAGGACCGAGUUUGACGGUACCUCCUUAGCAAGCACCGGCUAACUCUGUGCCAGCAGCCGCGGUAAGACAGAGGGUGCAAACGUUGCUCGGAAUCACUGGGCGUAAAGGGCGUGUAGGCGGGAAGGUAAGUCGGGCGUGAAAUCCCUGGGCUCAACCCAGGAACUGCACUCGAAACUACUUUUCUUGAGUGCCGGAGAGGAAAGCGGAAUUCCUGGUGUAGAGGUGAAAUUCGUAGAUAUCAGGAGGAACACCAGUGGCGAAGGCGGCUUUCUGGACGGUAACUGACGCUGAGACGCGAAAGCGUGGGGAGCAAACAGG